rnacentral:rRNA from 1 species
GCCCAGUCAUAAACUUUGAUGAUAAACUACAAAUAUCAUCCGCCAGGGAACUACAAGCGUAUCGCUCGAAACCCAACGGACUUGGCGGUGCCCCACACCCACCUAGAGGAGCCUGUUCUAUAACUGACAAUCCCCGUUCAACCUCACCACCCCUAGCCCCUUCAGUCUAUAUACCACCGUCGUAAGCUCACCCUAUGAAGGAUAAACAGUAAGCAAGAUGGGUACAACCCAAAACGUCAGGUCGAGGUGUAGCACAUGGGGUGGGAAGAAAUGGGCUACAUUUUCUGCCUACAGAACACCACGAACAACGCCAUGAAAUCUGCCGUUCAAAGGAGGAUUUAGCAGUAAAAAGAAAACAGAGAGUUCUUUUGAAGCCGGCCCUGGGGCGCGC